rnacentral:lncRNA from 1 species
GUGCCCUAUAGUUUAUCAAAGUUAAAUUAUUGACGUAAGUUGACCAUGUCAACCAUUGUCCGAAGUUUAUGACUUGUUUGUUCAUCUUUUACUUUCAAACAAAGAUUUAAGUAAUAUUUGUUCUAUCAGAAAGUUAUUUGACCAAAGAAAUUUAGUUUGACCAACGUGAAGUUUACUUGAACUAAAAACUGGACAUGAAAAUUUGGCC